GGUAUUGCGAAAUGUUACUGCUGUUUGAACAAUCCUUCUUGGCCCAAUAUUUUCUCAUUGUUCAUAUAUUGAUAGAUAAAGAAGGAAUACUGGAAUACUCUCUGUUGAUGUCCUAAGUUUGCUCUCACUUCCUUGCUUGCAAAUACUUUCUCCCUCCAUCUUACAUGUCAUCUUUAUCUUGCUUUCUAGUGCUUCUUUCAUUUAAUUUUUGCUUUGACAAUCCUAAUGUGUUUAACUUGCUCUAUUAUAAUAUCAUAUGGUCAGUAAUUUUCUUCUACUUAAAAUUAGAAAAAUGUUGCUAAGGAUUGUUGGAACAGUUUACAUCUGAAUUUGAUGAAUGUCUUCUUCUAGGUUUGGGAUUACACUGGUUUUGGAUAUACAAGGUACAAUGCCAGAGACAUUAACAAAGAAAUACUAGGGUGUCAUUGUUAAGAGGAUAUAAAUCAGACAGGAGACCUGCAAACUUGACAAUGAUGGCAAUUCUGGAUGGCUUCAGAAGGCAUAUUCCGUUGAUUUCAGACCACUCAAUGUACCGCGCGCUGCUGCAUUCCAAGGGGCUCAUUAUAUUUCACCAUUGAAAAGGCAAAUAAUCUCGUAUGCAUCUGGUAACCAAGCUUGUACACUCGUUUAAGGAAGGUUCGGAGGAAUGGUCCAAGAAGGCGGUAGAGCUUGAGGAUUCAUGAAGACUUUAGACGUAAGUUCUAUUUGUAAUUUAUUUAUCCAACAAUGGCGAAUGAUGCACAGUACACUAAUUCCUCUUGUGAACAUGCAGUUUGGUUGUGGAAUUUCAAAAUUAUCUGUUUGUCUUAUGUCUUCAUGCAUGCUGGACGCGAAUGGAAGGUGUAUGGGGUGGCAAAGAUGGUCUUUGGAAACAAUGACACAGAAACUAGAAAGUCUUUGCAAAGUGAUAAUGGUGGUAAAAAGUUGAUCAUUUUCUUGGC